GACGAACGCUGGUGGCGUGCUUAACACAUGCAAGUCGAACGGAAAGGCCCUGCUUUUGUGGGGUGCUCGAGUGGCGAACGGGUGAGUAACACGUGAGUAACCUGCCCUUGACUUUGGGAUAACUUCAGGAAACUGGGGCUAAUACCGGAUAGGAGCUCCUGCUGCAUGGUGGGGGUUGGAAAGUUUCGGCGGUUGGGGAUGGACUCGCGGCUUAUCAGCUUGUUGGUGGGGUAGUGGCUUACCAAGGCUUUGACGGGUAGCCGGCCUGAGAGGGUGACCGGCCACAUUGGGACUGAGAUACGGCCCAGACUCCUACGGGAGGCAGCAGUGGGAAUAUUGCACAAUGGGCGGAAGCCUGAUGCAGCAACGCCGCGUGCGGGAUGACGGCCUUCGGGUUGUAAACCGCUUUCGCCUGUGACGAAGCGUGAGUGACGGUAAUGGGUAAAGAAGCACCGGCUAACUACGUG
rnacentral:rRNA from 1 species